rnacentral:rRNA from 1 species
CCUACGGGUGGCAGCAGUCGAGAAUCAUUCACAAUGGGGGAAACCCUGAUGGUGCGACGCCGCGUGGGGGAAUGAAGGUCUUCGGAUUGUAAACCCCUGUCAUGUGGGAGCAAAUUAAAAAGAUAGUACCACAAGAGGAAUAGCCGGCUAACUCUGUGCCAGCAGCCGCGGUAAUACAGAGGUCUCAAGCGUUGUUCGGAAUCACUGGGCGUAAAGCGUGCGUAGGCUGUUUCGUAAGUCGUGUGUGAAAGGCGCGGGCUCAACCGGCGAACGGCACCUGAAACUGGGAGACUAGAGUAAAGGAGGGGGAACCGGAAUUCGCGGUGUAGCAGUGAAAUGCGUAGAUAUCGAGAGGAACACUCGUGGCGAAGGCAGGUUCCUGGACAGUAACUGACGCUGAGGCACGAAGGCCAGGGGAGCGAAAGGGAUUAGAUACCCCUGUAGUC